GGUUAAGCGACUAAGCGUACACGGUGGAUGCCCUGGCAGUCAGAGGCGAUGAAGGGCGUGCUAAUCUGCGAUAAGCGCCGGUAAGGUGAUAUGAACCGUUAUAACCGGCGAUACCCGAAUGGGGAAACCCAGUGUGAYUCGUCACACUAUCAUUAACUGAAUCCAUAGGUUAAUGAGGCGAACCGGGGGAACUGAAACAUCUAAGUACCCCGAGGAAAAGAAAUCAACCGAGAUUCCCCCAGUAGCGGCGAGCGAACGGGGAGGAGCCCAGAGCCUGAAUCAGCAUGUGUGUUAGUGGAAGCGUCUGGAAAGGCGCGCGAUACAGGGUGACAGCCCCGUACACAAAAGCGCAUGUGCUGUGAGCUCGAUGAGUAGGGCGGGACACGUGGUAUCCUGUCUGAAUAUGGGGGGACCAUCCUCCAAGGCUAAAUACUCCUGACUGACCGAUAGUGAACCAGUACCGUGAGGGAAAGGCGAAAAGAACCCCGGCGAGGGGAGUGAAAAAGAACCUGAAACCGUGUACGUACAAGCAGUGGGAGCCCCACCACCAAAGCAUUCUCUGGUGUUGAAGGCCCUGCAAAGCAGCAUCGCGGUGGCGGAGCGUCGUUUGCGACGCCCAACACACAAAACAAGCGGUGAGUGCUUUGGGGUGGGGUGACUGCGUACCUUUUGUAUAAUGGGUCAGCGACUUAUAUUCUGUAGCAAGGUUAACCGAAUAGGGGAGCCGGAGGGAAACCGAGUCUUAAUYGGGCGUUAAGUUGCAGGGUAUAGACCCGAAACCCGGUGAUCUAGCCAUGGGCAGGUUGAAGGUUGGGUAACACUAACUGGAGGACCGAACCGACUAAUGUUGAAAAAUUAGCGGAUGACCUGUGGCUGGGGGUGAAAGGCCAAUCAAACCGGGAGAUAGCUGGUUCUCCCCGAAAGCUAUUUAGGUAGCGCCUCGUGAAUUCAUCUCCGGGGGUAGAGCACUGUUUCGGCUAGGGGGCCAUCCCGGCUUACCAACCCGAUGCAAACUGCGAAUACCGGAGAAUGUUAUCACGGGAGACACACGGCGGGUGCUAACGUCCGUCGUGAAGAGGGAAACAACCCAGACCGCCAGCUAAGGUCCCAAAGUCAUGGUUAAGUGGGAAACGAUGUGGGAAGGCCCAGACAGCCAGGAUGUUGGCUUAGAAGCAGCCAUCAUUUAAAGAAAGCGUAAUAGCUCACUGGUCGAGUCGGCCUGCGCGGAAGAUGUAACGGGGCUAAACCAUGCACCGAAGCUGCGGCAGCGACGCUKAUGCGUUGUUGGGUAGGGGAGCGUUCUGUAAGCCUGYGAAGGUGKSYYGUGAGGSWUGCUGGAGGUAUCAGAAGUGCGAAUGCUGACAUAAGUAACGAUAAAGCGGGUGAAAAGCCCGCUCGCCGGAAGACCAAGGGUUCCUGUCCAACGUUAAUCGGGGCAGGGUGAGUCGACCCCUAAGGCGAGGCCGAAAGGCGUAGUCGAUGGGAAACGGGUUAAUAUUCCCGUACUUGGUGUUACUGCGAAGGGGGGACGGAGAAGGCUAUGUUGGCCGGGCGACGGUUGUCCCGGUUUAAGCGUGUAGGUGUGUGUUCCAGGUAAAUCCGGUUCACUUUAACACUGAGGCGUGAYGACGAGGCACUACGGUGCUGAAGCAACAAAUGCCCUGCUUCCAGGAAAAGCCUCUAAGCAUCAGGUAACAUCAAAUCGUACCCCAAACCGACACAGGUGGUCAGGUAGAGAAUACCAAGGCGCUUGAGAGAACUCGGGUGAAGGAACUAGGCAAAAUGGUGCCGUAACUUCGGGAGAAGGCACGCUGACAYGUAGGUGAAGUGAUUUACUCAYGGAGCUGAAGUCAGUCGAAGAUACCAGCUGGCUGCAACUGUUUAUUAAAAACACAGCACUGUGCAAACACGAAAGUGGACGUAUACGGUGUGACGCCUGCCCGGUGCCGGAAGGUUAAUUGAUGGGGUCAGCGCAAGCGAAGCUCCUGAUCGAAGCCCCGGUAAACGGCGGCCGUAACUAUAACGGUCCUAAGGUAGCGAAAUUCCUUGUCGGGUAAGUUCCGACCUGCACGAAUGGCGUAAUGAUGGCCAGGCUGUCUCCACCCGAGACUCAGUGAAAUUGAACUCGCUGUGAAGAUGCAGUGUACCCGCGGCAAGACGGAAAGACCCCGUGAACCUUUACUAUAGCUUGACACUGAACAUUGAGCCUUGAUGUGUAGGAUAGGUGGGAGGCUUUGAAGUGUGGACGCCAGUCUGCAUGGAGCCGACCUUGAAAUACCACCCUUUAAUGUUUGAUGUUCUAACGUGGACCCGUAAUCCGGGUUGCGGACAGUGUCUGGUGGGUAGUUUGACUGGGGCGGUCUCCUCCUAAAGAGUAACGGAGGAGCACGAAGGUUGGCUAAUCCUGGUCGGACAUCAGGAGGUUAGUGCAAUGGCAUAAGCCAGCUUGACUGCGAGCGUGACGGCGCGAGCAGGUGCGAAAGCAGGUCAUAGUGAUCCGGUGGUUCUGAAUGGAAGGGCCAUCGCUCAACGGAUAAAAGGUACUCCGGGGAUAACAGGCUGAUACCGCCCAAGAGUUCAUAUCGACGGCGGUGUUUGGCACCUCGAUGUCGGCUCAUCACAUCCUGGGGCUGAAGUAGGUCCCAAGGGUAUGGCUGUUCGCCAUUUAAAGUGGUACGCGAGCUGGGUUUAGAACGUCGUGAGACAGUUCGGUCCCUAUCUGCCGUGGGCGCUGGAGAACUGAGGGGGGCUGCUCCUAGUACGAGAGGACCGGAGUGGACGCAUCACUGGUGUUCGGGUUGUCAUGCCAAUGGCACUGCCCGGUAGCUAAAUGCGGAAGAGAUAAGUGCUGAAAGCAUCUAAGCACGAAACUUGCCCCGAGAUGAGUUCUCCCUGAGACUUARAGUCUCCUGAAGGAACGUUGAAGACGACGACGUUGAUAGGCCGGGUGUGUAAGCGCAGCGAUGCGUUGAGCUAACCGGUACUAAUGAACCGUGAGGCUUAACCUU
rnacentral:rRNA from 1 species